GGGUUGUGAGGUUAAGCGACUAAGCGUACACGGUGGAUGCCCUGGCAGUCAGAGGCGAUGAAGGACGUGCUAAUCUGCGAUAAGCGUCGGUAAGGUGAUAUGAACCGUUAUAACCGGCGAUUUCCGAAUGGGGAAACCCAGUGUGUUUCGACACACUAUCAUUAACUGAAUCCAUAGGUUAAUGAGGCGAACCGGGGGAACUGAAACAUCUAAGUACCCCGAGGAAAAGAAAUCAACCGAGAUUCCCCCAGUAGCGGCGAGCGAACGGGGAGCAGCCCAGAGCCUGAAUCAGUGUGUGUGUUAGUGGAAGCGUCUGGAAAGGCGCGCGAUACAGGGUGACAGCCCCGUACACAAAAAUGCACAUGCUGUGAGCUCGAUGAGUAGGGCGGGACACGUGGUAUCCUGUCUGAAUAUGGGGGGACCAUCCUCCAAGGCUAAAUACUCCUGACUGACCGAUAGUGAACCAGUACCGUGAGGGAAAGGCGAAAAGAACCCCGGCGAGGGGAGUGAAAAAGAACCUGAAACCGUGUACGUACAAGCAGUGGGAGCACGCUUAGGCGUGUGACUGCGUACCUUUUGUAUAAUGGGUCAGCGACUUAUAUUCUGUAGCAAGGUUAACCGAAUAGGGGAGCCGAAGGGAAACCGAGUCUUAACUGGGCGUUAAGUUGCAGGGUAUAGACCCGAAACCCGGUGAUCUAGCCAUGGGCAGGUUGAAGGUUGGGUAACACUAACUGGAGGACCGAACCGACUAAUGUUGAAAAAUUAGCGGAUGACUUGUGGCUGGGGGUGAAAGGCCAAUCAAACCGGGAGAUAGCUGGUUCUCCCCGAAAGCUAUUUAGGUAGCGCCUCGUGAAUUCAUCUCCGGGGGUAGAGCACUGUUUCGGCAAGGGGGUCAUCCCGACUUACCAACCCGAUGCAAACUGCGAAUACCGGAGAAUGUUAUCACGGGAGACACACGGCGGGUGCUAACGUCCGUCGUGAAGAGGGAAACAACCCAGACCGCCAGCUAAGGUCCCAAAGUCAUGGUUAAGUGGGAAACGAUGUGGGAAGGCCCAGACAGCCAGGAUGUUGGCUUAGAAGCAGCCAUCAUUUAAAGAAAGCGUAAUAGCUCACUGGUCGAGUCGGCCUGCGCGGAAGAUGUAACGGGGCUAAACCAUGCACCGAAGCUGCGGCAGCGACACUAUGUGUUGUUGGGUAGGGGAGCGUUCUGUAAGCCUGUGAAGGUGUGCUGUGAGGCAUGCUGGAGGUAUCAGAAGUGCGAAUGCUGACAUAAGUAACGAUAAAGCGGGUGAAAAGCCCGCUCGCCGGAAGACCAAGGGUUCCUGUCCAACGUUAAUCGGGGCAGGGUGAGUCGACCCCUAAGGCGAGGCCGAAAGGCGUAGUCGAUGGGAAACAGGUUAAUAUUCCUGUACUUGGUGUUACUGCGAAGGGGGGACGGAGAAGGCUAUGUUGGCCGGGCGACGGUUGUCCCGGUUUAAGCGUGUAGGCUGGUUUUCCAGGCAAAUCCGGAAAAUCAAGGCUGAGGCGUGAUGACGAGGCACUACGGUGCUGAAGCAACAAAUGCCCUGCUUCCAGGAAAAGCCUCUAAGCAUCAGGUAACAUCAAAUCGUACCCCAAACCGACACAGGUGGUCAGGUAGAGAAUACCAAGGCGCUUGAGAGAACUCGGGUGAAGGAACUAGGCAAAAUGGUGCCGUAACUUCGGGAGAAGGCACGCUGAUAUGUAGGUGAAGUCCCUCGCGGAUGGAGCUGAAAUCAGUCGAAGAUACCAGCUGGCUGCAACUGUUUAUUAAAAACACAGCACUGUGCAAACACGAAAGUGGACGUAUACGGUGUGACGCCUGCCCGGUGCCGGAAGGUUAAUUGAUGGGGUUAGCCGCAAGGCGAAGCUCUUGAUCGAAGCCCCGGUAAACGGCGGCCGUAACUAUAACGGUCCUAAGGUAGCGAAAUUCCUUGUCGGGUAAGUUCCGACCUGCACGAAUGGCGUAAUGAUGGCCAGGCUGUCUCCACCCGAGACUCAGUGAAAUUGAACUCGCUGUGAAGAUGCAGUGUACCCGCGGCAAGACGGAAAGACCCCGUGAACCUUUACUAUAGCUUGACACUGAACAUUGAGCCUUGAUGUGUAGGAUAGGUGGGAGGCUUAGAAGUGUGGACGCCAGUCUGCAUGGAGCCGACCUUGAAAUACCACCCUUUAAUGUUUGAUGUUCUAACGUUGACCCGUAAUCCGGGUUGCGGACAGUGUCUGGUGGGUAGUUUGACUGGGGCGGUCUCCUCCUAAAGAGUAACGGAGGAGCACGAAGGUUGGCUAAUCCUGGUCGGACAUCAGGAGGUUAGUGCAAUGGCAUAAGCCAGCUUGACUGCGAGCGUGACGGCGCGAGCAGGUGCGAAAGCAGGUCAUAGUGAUCCGGUGGUUCUGAAUGGAAGGGCCAUCGCUCAACGGAUAAAAGGUACUCCGGGGAUAACAGGCUGAUACCGCCCAAGAGUUCAUAUCGACGGCGGUGUUUGGCACCUCGAUGUCGGCUCAUCACAUCCUGGGGCUGAAGUAGGUCCCAAGGGUAUGGCUGUUCGCCAUUUAAAGUGGUACGCGAGCUGGGUUUAGAACGUCGUGAGACAGUUCGGUCCCUAUCUGCCGUGGGCGCUGGAGAACUGAGGGGGGCUGCUCCUAGUACGAGAGGACCGGAGUGGACGCAUCACUGGUGUUCGGGUUGUCAUGCCAAUGGCACUGCCCGGUAGCUAAAUGCGGAAGAGAUAAGUGCUGAAAGCAUCUAAGCACGAAACUUGCCCCGAGAUGAGUUCUCCCUGACCCUUUAAGGGUCCUGAAGGAACGUUGAAGACGACGACGUUGAUAGGCCGGGUGUGUAAGCGCAGCGAUGCGUUGAGCUAACCGGUACUAAUGAACCGUGAGGCUUAACCUUACAACGCCGAAGCUGUU
rnacentral:rRNA from 1 species